rnacentral:rRNA from 1 species
GGGUUGUGAGGUUAAGCGACUAAGCGUACACGGUGGAUGCCCUGGCAGUCAGAGGCGAUGAAGGACGUGCUAAUCUGCGAUAAGCGUCGGUAAGGUGAUAUGAACCGUUAUAACCGGCGAUUUCCGAAUGGGGAAACCCAGUGUGAUUCRUCACACUAUCAUUACGUGAAUACAUAGCGUAAUGAAGCGAACCGGGGGAACUGAAACAUCUAA